rnacentral:rRNA from 1 species
GAUGAACGCUAGCUACAGGCUUAACACAUGCAAGUCGAGCGACCGGCGCACGGGUGAGUAACACGUAUCCAACCUGCCCUUUACUCGGGGAUAGCCUUUCGAAAGAAAGAUUACUACCUGAUAUAAAGGAUGGGGAUGCGUUCCAUUAGGUUGUUGGUGAGGUAACGGCCCACCAAGCCUUCGAUGGAUAGGGGUUCUGAGAGGAAGGUCCCCCACAUUGGAACUGAGGCACGGUCCAAACUCCUACGCGAGGCUGGAGUGUGGAAUAUAGGUCAAUAGGCGUUAGCCUGAACCAGCCAAGUAGCGUGAAGGAUGAAGGCUUAUGAGUCGUAAACUUCUUUUAUAUAAGAAUAUGUAUUAUAUGAAUAAGGAUCGGCUAACUCCGUGCCAGCAGCCGCGGUAAUUC